CAUUUCUUCAUGGAAAUACAAUCAGACCGAGACGCUAAGACAGAAGUACUACUGCGUCUGUAAAAUGAUUAAUAUGGUGAUUAUUACUUCAAGGAAAUGAUAAAGAAAUGAUCAUAAAUGUUCUUCCUUGAGCUGCGGCACCCCGCUGCAGUCAGUAAUGGACUGGCCUGAGGUCUCACUACAAACAAGCGUCUGCUGGAAGAGAGUAGGUGAGUUGUGUUUAGUCUCUUUGCUAAAGAAAUGAGUCAAAGUUAAAAAGAUGUUUGGUGUCUAGUACUAUGUCUGUGUCCAUAUAUUUACUAACCUCAGUAGAUCAUGGUGUAGUUCUGUUCAGUAACAGAACCUCAUUGGAAAAUUAGCUGAUUUAACUUUACUGUGCUCUUGUUCAAAUAUAUUAACUCAACAGCACAUAUAUUCAUACCUGUUAACAAAAUCAUGAUUUUAUUGAUAAUUCGGCUCAAUAAAAACACCUUUACCUUUUUAUUUUACUACAGUAGAAGUUUAUUGGCCCAGCUUAUAGACUACAGAAGUGGAGAAACACCCCCGCU